AAACUGGGCCCUGAAGCAGCAGAGGGCUUUGCCCAGCGUGGUGGCACUAGACUGGGACAGACUAGGAUGAGGUGCCGGGCCCUUCCUGCUACUGGUGUCCUUUCUCCUCAGUCACAAGGACAUAGUAGCUGAGGGGUUGCGCCAGCUGCUGGGGGAGGAGAAAUACCGCCAGGACCUGACUGUGCCUCCAGGCUACUGCACAGGUGAGCAAGGGGCAGGCGGCAGGCCCAGGGAGACGGAGCCCUGGCUAAGGCCGCCGGCCCUGCUCCCCCUCCAGACUUCCUGCUGUGCGUCAGCAGCUCUGGUGCUGUGCUUCCCGUGAGGACCCAGGACCCCUUCCUGCCAUACCCACCAAGGUCCUGCCCACAGGGCCAGGCCGCCUCUAGCCCCACUACUCGAGACCCUGCCCAGAGGUAAGGGAGGCAGGGUGGGGGAGCCCUGGCCACCUUGCCCGCCAUGCCCUGAGCCACAUCCCUCCCCCUGCAGGGUGGUGCUGGUGUUGCGGGAACGCUGGCAUUUCUGC
rnacentral:sRNA from 1 species